UUGACAGAAGCCAAAACAAGAGGCAUAUCACUGUUAAUGAUAAAAUUGAAGUCUUAUCUUUCCUGUCAAA
rnacentral:tRNA from 1 species